AACGAACGCUGGCGGCAUGCCUAACACAUGCAAGUCGAACGGUGCCUUCGGGCACAGUGGCGCACGGGUGAGUAACACGUGGGAACAUACCCUUUGGUGCGGAACAACAGCUGGAAACGGCUGCUAAUACCGCAUGCGCCCUACGGGGGAAAGAUUUAUCGCCGAAGGAUUGGCCCGCGUCUGAUUAGCUAGUUGGUGAGGUAAUGGCUCACCAAGGCGACGAUCAGUAGCUGGUCUGAGAGGAUGAUCAGCCACACUGGGACUGAGACACGGCCCAGACUCCUACGGGAGGCAGCAGUGGGGAAUAUUGGACAAUGGGCGCAAGCCUGAUCCAGCCAUGCCGCGUGAGUGAUGAAGGCCCUAGGGUUGUAAAGCUCUUUCAGCGAGGAGGAUAAUGACGUUACUCGCAGAAGAAGCCCCGGCUAACUUCGUGCCAGCAGCCGCG
rnacentral:rRNA from 1 species